UACAGAGGUCCCAAGCGUUGUUCGGAUUCACUGGGCGUAAAGGGUGCGUAGGUGGCUUGGUAAGUUUGAUGUGAAAUCUCCGGGCUUAACCCGGAAAUGGCAUUGAAUACUAUUGAGCUGGAGGUUUGGAGGGGGGACUGGAAUUCUCGGUGUAGCAGUGAAAUGCGUAGAUAUCGAGAGGAACACCAGUGGCGAAGGCGAGUCUCUGGGAUGAUGCUGACGCUGAGGCGCGAAAGCCAGGGGAGCAAACGGG
rnacentral:rRNA from 1 species